ACCAGGAUGGCCGAGUGGUUAAGGCGUUGGACUUAAGUUCCAAUGUACGGAUGUACGCGUGGGUUCGAACCUCACUCCUGGUA
rnacentral:tRNA from 2 species